GCUGGCCCCGCGGUGGGGUGGCCGGCCCGCCCCUGUGCCCGCCCCGGCGCGUUGGCUCCGCCGGCGCCGCCGCACCGAAACGCGAGUCCUUCCACGCGGUAGUGGCUUUGGCCUUGCACCCAAGACUGCAAGCUCCUUGAUGACAAAAGAUUGCAUCUGUCUUGUUCAUCACUGUGUUCCCAGUAUCUGGCAUAUAGUGUGUUGCAUCGUUCCCCUGAGAAGUGAUGUUGGCUUGGUCGAACUGAAGGGGGCUGCCUAUUUGAUGUCAUCUCCCAUGGUCGCAUUGG